rnacentral:rRNA from 1 species
GCCCGGUCGUGGGGGAUAACGUAGCGAAAGCUACGCUAAUACCGCAUACGAUCUACGGAUGAAAGCGGGGGAUCGCAAGACCUCGCGCGAUUGGAGCGGCCGAUAUCAGAUUAGGUAGUUGGUGAGGUAAAGGCUCACCAAGCCGACGAUCUGUAGCUGGUCUGAGAGGACGACCAGCCACACUGGGACCUGAGACACGGCCCCAGACUCCUACGGGAGGCAGCAGUGGGGAAUUUUGGACAAUGGGCGCAAGCCUGGAUCCAGCAAUGCCGCGUGCAGGAUGAAGGCCUUCGGGUUGUAAACUGCUUUGUACGGAACGAAACGGUGAGCUCUAAUACAGUUUGCUAAUGACGGUACCGUAAGAAUAAGCACCGGCUAACUACGUG